CUCCCCCCCGCCUAUCCAGACCACUCACCUGGGCGAGUGUUUGUGAGUGUAUAGGUGAGACGUGUGUGUCUUUAUAUCUGGAGGGAACAGGUAAAGAGCAUGUUGAGUUUGGAAACGGUGACUGAAGAUGGAGGCGGAUGAAUUGGUUCCGAAAAGAAACGGCACUGGAUCCAUCAUCUGGAAGUGGUUUGGGUAUCGCAAGGAAGAUGUUGAACAAACAACAGUUAUCUGCGGAAUAUGCAGCAAAGCCACGGUAGCGGUAGCGGUACUACAGAGUUGUUUCACCAUUUGAAAUGUCGUCCACUACAAAACAAAGAAUGCCUGAAACAUCCCAUGUCCGCAUCUUCACCACCCACAUCAAAUAAAAUGCCAAAGCAUCCAGCACAGAAGCAAAUGACUCUGGCUUCUUUGUUUGCCCAAUCAAUCCCAUAUGACAAAAAAAGUCCAAAAUGCUGGGAGUUGAAGAGUUCAUGCCAGAUGAUCAUACAGGCAAGAUCACCGCACAAGCAUCUUGGCAACCCAAGAGGAUGCUACUCCACUGACCAAGUCUAUCAGAGUCUCCAUCCUGUAUUAUCUCAGGGAGAAAUUUGCUGACUCUGCUGGCAACAACCUGCUGGACUUGGCAUCAUUAGUGGAUCAAAACAACAUACAUUGCAGAAGAAAAAGUGGAGGAAAUCAAGUGCGGAGCCAUAGCGGAGAUGCUGUCUGACCAGGGCACAGCUGAGUCAGCUGCUUCACAGCCUCAUGAAGCACCAACCGUAUCAGAGCCUGAAAAACCUGAAAAAAAUUGGCAAAGAAGCAUCUGUGUGUUCCUGCCACCAGUUUCCCAUUGGGAGGGGUAUUUAGUACCAGUGGGAAUAUAGCUACAUGCCACUGGGCAUCUCUCAGGCCAGAAACUGGUGAUAGGCUUCUGGCACAAAACCUCUAGACAACCUGUUGGUACACACACACAUAAACACUCACUCUCCUGUCCUGUGAUGUGACUGUUAUUGUUAUGCAGAGUGAUUUGUCACAGUGACAGCCUGGACCAGUGUGUCUGUGGUUAACACAGUAUGCUAUUUGUAUUUUUAAAUUACCUGCUGUCACAAACUUCAUGCACAAAAAGUACACUUUAAUUUAUGUUGUUUUGAAAUGUCUCUCUCAGGGUUUCUUGUUGAAUGCACUUUUUUGUUUCUCUGAGCUCCGUUUCUGUUAAGGCUCUUUGAGAACUAGGUCACAGUAUGUAGUCCUACAUCAUGCCAUUAUUUUUCAUUUAACAGCUGUUAAAAGCCUGCGUGUGCAGCUGCUUGGUUUGAAUAAAUACUGUUUUGUUAAAUUUAA